UACCUGGUUGAUCCUGCCAGUAGUCAUAUGCUUGUCUCAAAGAUUAAGCCAUGCAAGUCUAAGUACGAGCUCUCGUACAGUGAAACUGCGAAUGGCUCAUUAAAUCAGUUAUGGUUCAUUUGAUCGUACAGUUUACUUGGAUAACUGUGGUAAUUCUAGAGCUAAUACAUGCGAGAAGCGCCGACCUCGCGGGAGGCGUGCAUUUAUCAGACCAAAAACCGGCCGCGUCUUCGGGCGCGUUCGCCUUGGUGACUCUGGAUAACUUUGCGGAUCGCACGGUCUAGCACCGGCGACGGAUCAUUCAAGUGUCUGCCCUAUCAACUUUCGUCGGUACGGUAUUUGCCUACCGAGGUUCUUACGGGUGACGGGGAAUCAGGGUUCGAUUCCGGAGAGGGAGCCUGAGAAACGGCUACCACAUCCAAGGAAGGCAGCAGGCGCGCAAAUUACCCAUUCCCGACGCGGGGAGGUAGUGACGAAAAAUAACAAUGCAGGACUCGUUCGAGGCCCUGUAAUUGGAAUGAGUACACUUUAAAAGCUUGAACGAGUAUCCAUGGAGGGCAAGUCUGGU
rnacentral:ncRNA from 1 species